rfam:Thermovenabulum gondwanense strain R270 ATZ99_contig000031, whole genome shotgun sequence.
GGAGGGGUGUCCGAGUGGUUUAAGGAGCUGGUCUUGAAAACCAGUGCCCCAAAAGGGCCGGGGGUUCGAAUCCCUCCCCCUCUG